AUCCCUCUGUAGGGAACGUCGGGGGGAACUUUACCGGGUUUUCCAUCCCCUAACCCCUGUGGACAUUCCAAUUUUGGGUUUGGGGGAUGUGCCCAAUCCCGGUAAAACGGGACGGCCCGCCAGAGGACCCCUAAAGUGUGUUUCUAUAUGUAACUUCUGAGUAAAACCAUAAAUAAAUCAAAACUUUCAACAACGGAUCUCUUGGUUCUGGCAUCGAUGAAGAACGCAGCAAAAUGGGAUAAGUAAUGUGAAUUGCAGAAUUCAGUGAAUCAUCGAAUCUUUGAACGCACAUUGCACCCGCCAGUAUUCUGGCGGGCAUGCCUGUUCGAGCGUCAUUUCAACCCUCAAGCCCCCGGGUUUGGUGUUGGGGAUCGGCGAGCCCUUGCGGCAAGCCGGCCCCGAAAUCUAGUGGCGGUCUCGCUGCAGCUUCCAUUGCGUAGUAGUAAAACCCUCGCAACUGGUACGCGGCGCGGCCAAGCCGUUAAACCCCCAACUUCUGAAUGUGACCUUCGGGGU
rnacentral:rRNA from 1 species